GAUGAAGAAUGUAGCGAAAUGCGAUAAGUUAUGUGAAUUGCAGAAUUCAGUGAAUCAUCGAAUCUUUGAACGCACAUUGCGCCCCUUGGUAUUCCGAGGGGCAUGCCUGUUCGAGCGUCAUUACACCACUCAAGCUAUGCUUGGUAUUGGGCGUCGUCCUUAGUUGGGCGCGCCUUAAAGACCUCGGCGAGGCCACUCCGGCUUUAGGCGUAGUAGAAUUUAUUCGAACGUCUGUCAAAGGAGAGGAACUCUGCCGACUGAAACCUUUAUUUUUCUAGGUUGACCUCGGAUCAGGUAGGGAUACCCGCUGAACUUAAGCAUAUCAAUAAGCGGAGGA
rnacentral:misc_RNA from 1 species